rnacentral:lncRNA from 1 species
GAUAGACUUAACAGGGAAGUCUGUUGUUGCUACAUCCAUUUUUGGAAUUAUAAAUUAUAUAUACAGUUCCAGUCAAAAGUUUGGACACCUACUCAAAAAGGGUUUUCUACAUUGUAGAAUAAUAGUGAAGACAUCAAAACUAUGAAAUGACAUAUGGAAUCAUGUAGUAACCAAAAAAGUGUUAACCUGUUGGGGCUAGGGGGCAGUAUUUUCACGGCCGGAUAAAAAACGUAGCCGAUUUAAACUGGUUACUACUCUUAUCCAGAAACGAUAAUAUGCAUAUAAUUAGUAGAUUUGGAUAGAAACCACUCUAAAGUUUCUAAAACUAUUUGAAUGGUGUCUGUGAGUAUAACAGAACUCAGGCAGGCCAAAACCUGAGAAGAUUCCAUGCAGGAAGUGCCCUGUCUGACAAUUUGUUGUCCUUCUAGGGCAUCUCUAUCAGAAAUACAGCAUCUCUGCUGUAAUGUGACAUUUUCUAAGGCUUCCAUUGGCUCUCAGAAGGCGCCAGAAAGUGGAAUGAGAGCUCUGCAGUCUCUGGGCGAAAAACAGCAGGAGUUUUUGUGAGUGGUCAGGCAGGGAACACUGACACUGGAGCGCGCGUGCACGAGAGGACUCCAUGUUUUUCUUUCUCUCUUUGAACGAAUACAACGUCGCCCGGUUGGAAUAUUAUCGCUAUUUUACGAGAAAAAUAGCAUAAAAAUUGAUUUUAAAAAGCGUUUGACAUGCUUCGAAGUACGGUAAUGGAAUAUUUUGAAUUUUUUUGUCACGAAAUACGCACGAACAAAACGGAGCUAUUUCAAUAUAACUAUGGAUUAUUUCGAACCAAAACAACAUUUGUUGUUGAAGUAGAAGUCCUGGGAGUGCAUUCUGACGAAGAACAGCAAAGGUAAUCCAAUUUUUCUUAUAGUAAAUCUGAGUUUGGUGAGGGCCAAACUUGGUGGGUGUCAAAUUAGCUAGCCGUGAUAUCUACUCAGAAUAUUGCAAAAUGUGCUUUCGCCGAAAAGCUAUUUUAAAAUCUGACACCGCGAUUGCAUAAAGGAGUUCUGUAUCUAUAAUUCUUAAAAUAAUUAUGUAUUUUGUGAACGUUAAUCGUGAGUAAUUAAGUAAAUUCACCGGAAGUUUGCGGUGUGUAUGCUAGUUGCUAGUUCUGAACAUCACAUGCUAAUGUAAAAAGCUGGUUUUUGAUAUAAAUAUGAACUUGAUUGAACAAAACAUGCAUGUAUUGAUUAACAUAAUGUCCUAGGAGUGUCAUCUGAUGAAGAUCAUCAAAGGUUAGUGCUGCAUUUAGCUGUGUUUUUGGUUUUUGUGACAUAUAUGCUUGCUUGAAAAAUGGCUGUGGUUAUUUCUGGCUAUGUACUCUCCUAACAUAAUCUAAUGUUUUGCUUUCGCUGUAAAGCCUUUUUGAAAUCGGACAAUGUGGUUAGAUUAAUGAGAGUCUUGUCUUUCAAAUGGUGUAAAACAGUCCUAUGUUUGAGAACUUUGAAUUAUGACAUUUUGUGGUUUUAAAUUUGGCGCUCAGAUGUGUCACUGGCUGUUGAAUAGUGUGGGACGAUUUCGUCCCACCUACCCUAGAUUAAGCAAAUCAAAAUAUAUUUUAUAUUUGAGAUUCUUCAAAGUAGCCACCCUUUACCUUGAUGACAGCUUCUACAGUGGGCAGACAGGUCAUGUGGAAGCUGCUACAGCGGGCAGACAGACAGGUCAUGUGGAAGCUGCUACAGCGGGCAGACAAACAGGUCAUGUGGAGGCUGCUACAGCAGGCAGACAGACAGGUCAUGUGGAGGCUGCUACAGCAGGCACAGACAGGUCAUGUGGAGGCUGCUACAGCAGGCAGACAGACAGGUUUCCUAGAAGGACAGAAUGUGUUUCUGGGAACCAGAUGAAUGCCAGUACAUGUAUAUUAUUCUUAAUAUGUAAUCAGUGCUAGAGAGGGUCAAUACAAACCCGUCAUAGAAUGAAUGGGCAACAAUGAGUUGAGGAGAAAUACAUUACACUAUAGUACAACUAUAGUCCUGAAUGAACCGUGUAGCUAAUACAGUACUUAUGCUUAUAACCAGCCUCAGCAGAGGGCGAUAAACAGAACAGGGUAGUGUAUUCAUCCACUUGUGGCAUGACAGUCAUCUACUGUAAUUAUAUUUACUGAGGUGCACCAAAGGACGAAUAGCAGAGGAAAAAAGCUUCCCCUAAGGAUAGAGCACAGAUAGAGGGGGGAAGCAGUAGAGGGGGGAAGCAGAUCUUAUUGAAGAAAGAAAAGAGGGAUGGAGGAAUGAAUAACUGCAGACGUAUAGCUGCAGCAAGCCAGACAGAACCGCUUGUGUGUGUGGAUGUGUGUGUAUAUGUGUGUAGCACUAAGCUCCUGAACUGACCCCCAGAGAGAGAGUACAGAGGGAGAACCAGUCAUGUGUGGAGAACACACAGCAUUGGAACACUAGAUCAAAUGAACAGCGCAGAAUCGCCUAAAAUGCAUGAAUCCAUUUGGCUCCCCGGGCCCCGCCCCCUCGGUCUCUCUCUCUUCUUUCCUCACUCCCUCCAUCCCUCCACUGUGCCAGUCUGAGUGCAGGUCAGAUGAGGACUGUUAUCAGCGCGCUCACAGAAACAGCUCUUAGCUCUGCUUUGUAACACGCUUUUUUUCCCCAGUUUUCAUCCACAUGCACACAAUUUCAGGGACAG